rnacentral:lncRNA from 1 species
UAAUGGAUCGGCCGGAAGUUUCGAUGCGAUUGGUUGUUACCAUUAUGAGUUUAUGCCUUAUUGACCUCACAACAAAAACCCUCGCCGUAGCUUUCCUUCAUAUCAUACAAACCACCACAAACGCCACUUCUCCGCCAUCAUGACCGCUACGACAUCACCGUUACCACCGUCACCACGCUACCAGCAUUCAAGUUUAACGAUUUACGAACAACAACUGACAUAUACAGUAGACGCACCGCCACAGUGGUGCCAUUAUCGCUGCCGUCAGACGACCGGAUGAGUGUGUUUCGCGCCUCUUUGUGACCCAGCUACACGGGAUUUCUGUCGUUUUUCUAAUUCAGCGACCAAGGUACCAGACUCAAAACACUCUCUAAUUUAAACCGCCGCUGCCGUGUUCUUCUCGUCAUCACUGUUGCUACCACGAACCCAAUUGGUUGCUGCCGUCUGCGGUCGAACCAGUAUCAACUAUUGUCGCACCUUUGUUCGCCACCAUCAGUUUGGUCACUUGAGUUCCCAGACCCGCAAUCAGCUGAUGUUCAAGCCGCCACAGCCGAACUCCGACGUUGCUCUAGUGUUGUCGCCGCGCUACUCUGGCCAUCGCCGCACCGUUCAGGUCACAACCAUUGCCGCCCCCUUGACUCGUUUCCGGUUAAUUGUCCGAUAGCCGGUAAAUGGUCUCUGCUAAACUCCGUUCGGCAACUGAGGUUCGUGAACUCGUUGAAGACAAAUUAUUUUGCUUUACUUGCAAAACCUAAGGUAAUACGGGAUGAUCUGGGAUUUCAGUGAGGAGCGUUAGGAAGUUGCUGACCAAGAUUAUUUAUUUCAGUAAUGUAAUAAAUGUAAUUAGGAUCUUUUAUUUAAUGUUAUGGAUUGGUUUUUAGUU